ACGAAAAGGCUCGGGCAAAGGAUUGAUUUCAUGUUGGAAUUACCAAUAAGCCUGUAUCAUUAACAUUAUUGUUUUUCCCACUAUAAAUUGCAGGACAUUUUCUGUACGGUCCUUGGGGGAAAGCAAGGAGCAGGGGGAGGGGAGGGGACUUCUAAAAAUGUUUCCCACACUAAAGAACUAGAAGGACCGGACUCUCGGCGAGCGAUCCAGGAGAAAGUGAGAAUCAUCCUGAACUUCGGGAAAUCUGCGGCGGCUACUACUGCUACUGAAGCUAUUGCGGCUUCUGCUUUCAGAGCUGAAAGCAGAAUAAAUAACUGCUUCUUCCUUGAUUUUAGGUGUAAUGCUAAUACUUCCUGCCAUCCUUGGAACAUGUCAGUUGCUGGUCUAUUCCCACCAAGUAAUAAUGAUCACCCUUGAUUCCCAGGUCCGGGAACCUUGGGCAUUUGACAUCCAAGACCUUCUUUUUGCCUUCCCUGAGGUCGGCUGUCACCUUCCGGCCUCCCCCACCGCUGCCCCUGUCGCCUCCUGCUGCAGCUCAGCCUGUCUGCCAUUUCACUCAUUCGCUUAAACCCACGACCUCCCGGGUCAUAAGGAAGAGGAUUUACCAAAGAAGUGGGCACGCAGAAAUGGGGACCUCUUAAAGGAGCUAGCUGUGUUUAAGAAAAUUGAAAUGUGAAAUAUUCAGCUUGGCAAGGAUGCCCAUCACUUCUCUUUCUCCAGAGCUGUGUAAUUCUGGGAGCAUUUGGCUGUGGUGUGCUCAUACAUUUGCCCGGUGCAAAAUGACCAAGCACUUCAGCAUUCUGAAUGUCAAUGCCAGAAGUCUAUGACUGAGUUCACUAGCUUCCCUCAGUUUACAUGAAGGCAAGCCUUCCCUCCAACCAGAAAAGGUCCUCAGAGGAAAAGGAGAAAUGGGAGUUGAGAGCUUUCACCAAAGAAAGUAAAAUCUCUAGGGAGAGAAACGCACUAGACUGACUGGCUAGAAGUGCAUAGAUACAGCUUCUGAUCAGUUUAAAGGACUCUCUGGGGACCCUCACCUAGGCCGGAGGAUAGAGAGGCAGUCCAGAGGACCAAGCCCCUCCCAGCUAUCCAAACCUAAAGGUCUUUGACCUUCAGGAAGGAUGGUAGAGUUCACCAAGGACGUUUAAGAGCGCCUGGACAGGAGGAGGCUCUGCCUGAGAGGUUUCAUUUCACCUUCUCACUCUGGGGAACUUAAAAAAAAAUAAAAGAAGUUAAUAUUGCCCCUUGUACUAUUCUACUUAAUUCCUUUUAUCUCAUGCCCUGGGUGGGGGUGGACAUCUAUAUUUGGGUCCCGUUGCAGAAAGGGGGUUAAGAGAAGUGAUGGGCAAUUUUAUAGAAAAUGAAGGGACCAUGGAAUCAAACCCAAGUAAAAACAAGACCCACAUGUGAAGCUGCAGCCCUUGUUUCUGCUGAAAAAUUCUAAACCACAGUGGCGGACCAGGGGUUGGGGUGGGGGCUGUGAGAAUUGGGUGGGAUACGGAAAGCUAAAGAAAUUCAAAACUGAUUUCCCCCCAACUUUAGAGAUCUCUGUCCUGAAAGCCUUUCUAGAGGGCAGGGGGUGUGCGGAGUGAGGCAUGGCCAGGGCACACACCCCUCCUGGUUUUUCAAAUCCCUGGGGUCACGGUGGCUUCAGCGCAUGGGUCUUCAGCCUGGUCUUUCCAAGAGUUUCCGACAGGAGUGAAGCCAACAUAUUCUAACUGAAAAAAUAAACACAAACUCCUCUGUGCCCUUGGGCCAAAGCACUGUGAAAAAAUCAGGCAUCAUACUUGUGGAUGUUGUUUAAUAAAAGUACUCACAGAAUCAUCGCUUUUGUUUUCAAACCUGAAAACUGGAUUUCUUUUCUUUUUCUAUUUCUUUCUUUUAUCAUGUGCUUUCUGCCCUGAGUGUUAAUAAAAGAACUAACGUGCUAGUUCAAGUGUGUUUAACCUGAUGGAGCAAAUGCCAGCAGCCGCGGACCGCGCUCACCGCCUGCAGCGCCACUACCCCCUGAGCGCCAACCCUGGCGGGUUCCCACUCCCCCGUACCCGGACCCCGUCAGGUCCACCUGACCCAAGUCUCAGCCGUGAGACCAAACAGGUGGCUUUCUGUUCAGCGGCCCCUGAGGUUCCCGACACCCUUUGACGUCCCGUCUAAGCUGUUGCUGGCCCAAGAGAAAAGAGGCCUCCAACAAGUUGUUGGAGCUGCAGUCGCUGCCUGCAUCCGCACCGUCCGCCUUUCCCUCUCCUCCUGAAAUUCGUUUCCUUAAGGGGCAGUAGACUGGGUCCCACGUUUUCUUGCGUUUCCUCCCACGGAAACGGGCAUCCUGGAAACAGUGCGUCCUUGGAAAGUCGAUGAGUUUACGGGCUGUUUGGAUUUGCUUGUUUUAUUACUGUCGUGUGUUUUUUUUUUCUUUCGGAUUUU